CCAAGCUUGCUUGGUGGAUCAGUGGCGAACGGGUGAGUAACACGUGAGCAACCUGCCCUGGACUCUGGGAUAAGCGCUGGAAACGGCGUCUAAUACUGGAUAUGAGCUCCUUCCGCAUGGUGGGGGUUGGAAAGAUUUUUCGGUCUGGGAUGGGCUCGCGGCCUAUCAGCUUGUUGGUGAGGUAAUGGCUCACCAAGGCGUCGACGGGUAGCCGGCCUGAGAGGGUGACCGGCCACACUGGGACUGAGACACGGCCCAGACUCCUACGGGAGGCAGCAGUGGGGAAUAUUGCACAAUGGGCGGAAGCCUGAUGCAGCAACGCCGCGUGAGGGAUGACGGCCUUCGGGUUGUAAACCUCUUUUAGCAGGGAAGAAGCGAAAGUGACGGUACCUGCAGAAAAAGCGCCGGCUAACUACGUGCCAGCAGCCGCGGUAAUACGUAGGGCGCAAGCGUUAUCCGGAAUUAUUGGGCGUAAAGAGCUCGUAGGCGGUUUGUCGCGUCUGCUGUGAAAUCCCGAGGCUCAACCUCGGGCCUGCAGUGGGUACGGGCAGACUAGAGUGCGGUAGGGGAGAUUGGAAUUCCUGGUGUAGCGGUGGAAUGCGCAGAUAUCAGGAGGAACACCGAUGGCGAAGGCAGAUCUCUGGGCCGUAACUGACGCUGAGGAGCGAAAGGGUGGGGAGCAAACAGGCUUAGAUACCCUGGUAGUCCACCCCGUAAACGUUGGGAACUAGUUGUGG
rnacentral:rRNA from 1 species